GACGAACGCUGGCGGCGUGCUUAACACAUGCAAGUCGAACGGGUCUGCCCUGUUUUUUGCGGGGUGGGUCAGUGGCGAACGGGUGAGUAACACGUGAGUAACCUGCCCCUCACUUCUGGAUAACCGCUUGAAAGGGUGGCUAAUACGGGGUGUUCUGGCUGUGCCGCAUGGUGUGGCUGGGAAAGAUUCACUUUUGUGGUGUUUUGGUGGGGGAUGGGCUCGCGGCCUAUCAGCUUGUUGGUGGGGUGAUGGCCUGCCAAGGCUUUGACGGGUAGCCGGCCUGAGAGGGUGGGCGGUCACACUGGGACUGAGAUACGGCCCAGACUCCUGCGGGAGGCAGCAGUGGGGGGUAUUGCACAAUGGGCGGAAGCCUGAUGCAGCGACGUCGCGUGAGGGAUGGAAGCCUUCGGGUUGUGAACCUCUUUCGCCGGUGAAGAAGGUCCUGCUCUUUGUGGUGGGGUUGACGGUAGCCGGGUUAUGAAGCGCCGGCUAACUACGUG
rnacentral:rRNA from 1 species